GACCAGUCCAUGAACAACUCAAGUCUCUCCUUGCAAAACAUCAAAGCCUUCUCUAUUUCCCAACUCCAUUAAAUUCUUUUUCUUGUUUUGACUCCUCUUGAGAGUUUAAACACCAUGGGUUUCCGGUUGCCAGGAAUUGUUAACGCCAACAGAAGUCUAAGUCACAUAGCUGCCUCAAAAACCUUGGAUAUCCCCAAAGGCUGUUUUGCAGUGUAUGUUGGGGUGAGCCAGAAGAAGCGCUUUGUGAUUCCGAUAUCAUACUUGAAUGAGCCUUUAUUCCUGGAUUUGCUGAAUCAAGCAGAGGAAGAAUUUGGAUAUGAUCAUCCAAUGGGUGGAAUCACCAUCCCCUGCAAUGAAUACUCCUUCCUUGAUCUCACUUCCCGUUUCCGUGUAUGAAUAAACACUAGUGAAGUUAAUCUGGGAAGCCUUCUGUAUCCGAAGUAUUCCUCAUUUCGACCACAACUCGCUAAGUCGAGAUGAAGAAGAACAUGCAUGAUCACUCUCACAUCUUGUGUUGCUUGUGAAUCUGGCAAGCCUUCGGAAAUCAUCAAGAUGCUUGUGAGCCGGGAUCCAAAGUUAAGAAACCUUGUAAUACAGUCGAAUUACGUAUCUUGCCUCCAAUUUUUAUCUCAAAGAGGACAUUAUUUUGUGUUUAUACCCCAUGUACAGUUCUUAAUUGUUUGCUCUUCUGGAACAUAUGGGAAGAUAUGAAUAUAGUUUAAUUCCUCAUCCACUUUCUUGUCUUAUUAUCUAAUUGUAGCUAUGUUUUAUAAUCAUCAAAUGGCAGUGAAGAUUUUCUCAAGAUCAAUAAAGUAUAAUGACAUACUUUGCCUCAUGUUAAAGCUGGUUGAGAGAGGCGUAAGUUAUGAUGACUAAUGACAACUUCCCACUUUUUUUCUUGACCUAUAUCAUAACACUACCUGCAGGAAUCAUUAAUUUGGGAGACUAGCAUGGAAAAUCUGCUGCCAUAUGGCAUAUAACAGAUCUGGUAGAAGAUAACCCUAUAUCCUCCCAUUUUUCCUGGAGAGAUAAAAAAAUUUACAUAGGGGUAUAAAGACAAAAUUUGACUGUUUUUUAGUUCAAAAUUGAAGUCAUCGUCUCGGGGCUAUUGGUCUUAGAGAGUUCAUGAUAUCUAUGGCCUUUCGACUGCUUCACAAAUUUCGUAUCUUUGUGCUCAGCUCAUGCAGCUUGACGG
rnacentral:lncRNA from 1 species